AGAUGGGGAUUUUGGGGGCAACCUGAUACAUCACUGGACUCCAUUGACAUGCAUCUUUUGAACUCUUCACGCGCUGGUUUUUAUAUUGAGCCUAUUGUGAUUUCACAUUGAUGUAAGAGAACUUGUAAGGGUAGAUGGCCUUGACCAAGGUGAGUCACCAGUCACGAAGCCUCCUGAUCUGGCUGACAUCCUCGUCACAGUCAAGAGCACUUUAACCAGAGCCAACAGGCUGAGUGGUGACUCAAGGUGCAAGCAGUUUACCCCCUCAGACUGAGACAUGCAAUCAGAAACCAGCGGCUCCUCUGUUUUUGUCUUUUUAUCUAUGUUUGGUCUAACAUGCCGGAUGAAGACAGAGAAGAAAUACAGUGUAGAACAGAUUCUGAAGCUUGCUAGCCUUCAAACAUGUGUAUACUACAAAUGCAAUAUUAAAGCUGGGAAUCCCCUAUGCAAGGAUAACAUGGAACUUUGAGUGUUAUUGUGCCUCACCUGGACGGGGGCAGGUGGUUACAAUCGUAAACCACAAAUGCAUUUGAAGUGGAACACGUAACAUCAGGAGAACAAGAGAGAGCUUGAUCCCCUCACUGUCACCACAUGAAGAAUAAAUCCACGUCAAAAGUUUGGCAAUCAAUUGAACCGCAGUCAUAAUUCUCUGGUAACAUACAUGGGAAGUUCCAUAGAUAUUUUUUUUCCCACAAUGUUGCUAACAAUCAAAUGAAAACAAGAUCUUCUAACUUGACACUUGUGUGACUUUUGGGAAAAAAAGAAAAGACGUCAUGUACUGCGUUGUCAAUGACCGAGCUUUUAUCUGAUUAUAGGGGUCUUGUGUCUUUGAAGGGUUACAUCAAGAAUCAUGUUGACUGAUUACUGACGUCGUUUUUAAACUGUGGGAAAACCAGAAUGAGGUCCAUAUUGCUUUAGGCAAUGUAAUUCUAGUGAAAGACAAAUCCUAUUCACUUCUGGUUAGAAAUAUUUUGUGGUGAAUCACUACAAAGAAGACAUGUUGCUUCAUGAUGUUGCCUCGUGGGCGUAUUGGCCUCUUAUUAAGCAAACGUCACCUCGGGGCUAAGAUUUGUUCACGGCAAAAACUUUGUAAUUACUGACCUUCACAUGAAUUUAAACCUCACUGUGCAGAACAUCAAUAUUGGAAAAAUAUGAAACCGAUACUACAAGUUCCGUUGGAUUCGACACGCAGCCACUAAAUUCUUACCAUAAAACAGACCAACAAUCUGAAACUUCAAUUAUUAGAACUUGACCCUCCCCUUGAGGCUAACAUCCCUCCCAGAUCCGCUCGAACUUGUCUGGAGCAGAAAAGGAAAGAAACAGAUUCCGUCUGUUUGAGGGUGAUGCUGAUAAAGCUUCCAAAUCAACAAGCAAACUUUCCAUAAGCAUAAACGAAGGAUUCUGGUGGAGCUACAGACAGUCGCUGAGGUCAGACGGAGACGCUCGGUCUCCUAGACUCGCUGCUUCCUGUCCUGGUGGAGAUGAUGAGAUGUAUUGCUAUACAUCUGUGUUUGUGUGUGAGCUGGGGUGAUCUUCUCAUGGCAUGGUGAUGACACAACCCUGUGGGUGGUCACCAACUGCUCAACCAGUUAAGCCGCACCAAAGGUGAUAGGAGUCAACAGGCAGUGUUAUUUCAUGGCAGAUUAAGCACAGUUGAGAAAUAAAACUUUUGCUCUUCUUGUUUACCCUCCUCCUCCUUCCAAGCACAUCCCCGGUUCCGUGCCAACCCUGAUGAAUGAAUUAAAUCAUGUGUGAAAUUCUG